rnacentral:tRNA from 1 species
GUUAACGUAGCACAUCAUGGUCAUGCAAAAGAUCUAAGCCCUUUCUACAGAGGUUCAAAUCCUUUCGUUAACU